rnacentral:rRNA from 1 species
UACGAAGGUGGCUAGCGUUGUUCGGAAUCACUGGGCUUAAAGCGCGUGUAGGCGGCCUUGUAAGCGUCUUGUGAAAUCCCCCGGCUCAACCGGGGAACUGCUGGACGGACUGCAGGGCUUGAGGCAAGUAAGGGUGCAUGGAACUCUUGGUGGAGCGGUGAAAUGCGUAGAUAUCAAGAGGAACGCCGGUGGCGAAAGCGGUGCACUGGGCUUGUCCUGACGCUGAGAUGCGAAGGCCAGGGGAGCAAACGGG